GGCUCGGUGGUGGACGGUUCAUGCUCACAACAACUUGACAAGCGUUUGCUAUGGAUACUUGUGAGAGACGCCCGUUCGACUCGGGCCCGAGCCG